AUGUUCUCUGUCUCUCUGCUGCUGCUGGCAGCUGCAUCCUGUGUUUACAGUGACCCUGAGGUUGUCCAGUCUGGUCCUGUGGUUGUGAAGCCAGGAGAGUCUUUCACCAUAUCUUGUAAACAUUCUAAGACAUCGUGUCCACGUUGGAUCAGUCAAGCUGAGGGAAUAAACAUCCAGUAUUUGGGAUAUGGAUGUACUGGUGGGAGCAAUGACGUUGUGAAUUCCUUUAAAAACAAGAUCAGUUUCAGAGGUGACAGCUCCAGCAGCACAGUGUUUCUAGAAGGGAGGAACUUGCAGACUGAAGACACAGCUGUGUAUUACUGUGCUAGACAGUCACACUGUUACACACCAACAGCAGACCUGUACAUGAACCCCCCCUUCUCUAAAAUAAAUUGACCUAUGACAACCUGUAGGGGGGAAAUCUUAGUUUCCAAUAACAUUUUAAACUGUAGGCAUAUGAAUAAUGAGCAAUCGGGAGUGAACAUUUUGCUUGUUUUAUCAGACACUGUCUGUGGAGAAUAACUGUCCUUCAAUAUCUAGAAGUGAUGAUGUAACGGGGGCAAAUGUCCACCAUGAAAAUGUGUUUGGGGGUGGGGCAGUCUGUCUGUUUGUGCGUAUUGUGUGUGUGUGUGCUUGUGUUAUCCCUCUACUGUCCCUAAUUGCUGGCUAAUUGGGAACCCACGGGAUUGGUUGUGCAGCGCAUAAAAUCCACUGUGUCCUCCCAACGGGAGAGCUUUUGGAGAGCUGCGCCGGACAACGAAAAGAUUCCGGGGCCCGCGCCGGACGACGAAAAACUAGUCAUCGACGACGAACGACGAGUGAGAUCUCUGGUUGGUGGCAGGCGCCCGUGAAGGACUCUACUACGAACCUCCACGUAGUGGGACAACAGCAACCGUUCGAGCAACGAUCGAGCAGAAGGACAAAUACAACGCACUCAACGAAACAACGUCAAGGAAACGCUAGAGAACGCUGGUAUCGUGAGCACCGCCAAGAGACAUACAACGCCCUCUAUUUCUGCAGCAAAGUUCUGUGGGAAACGUACCCACGCCACCACUGUGAAAGGACAGUUUUGGUGGAACUGCGGUGCGCUUUCGGCUGCGUUACACUGAAGCCCGGAGUCAUCAAUUGGGUCGUGAGUGGUGUAUGGACUGGGGGCUAUGAGCCUAUCGCCGUUUUGCGGCAUAGAUUUCUGGUGCACGUGUAUGUUUUGCAGUGUUGUGGGUUUUGCUGUGGAUUUACUGUAAAUUGCUGUGGAUUUGCUAACCUUAGCUUUUGGCACCAGGUGCGGAGCUGCGAUUCGCUCAUGACUAGGUCUUCUGUUUUUAGAACUGUAAAUUAAUAAAGGGAUA